UCUCUGCUAAUAUGAAAAUAGAAGUAUGGAGGGUGAGGCCUGCCCAAUGGUUGUAUCUAAAAGGGUCGGUAAGAGCCGACUUCAUAAAGACAAUUGAAUGGCCGCGGUAACACUGACCGUGAUAAUGUAGCGUAAUCAAUAGCCAAUUAAUUGUUGGCCGGUAUGAAUGGCGUCACGAAGGCCCCUCUGUCUUAAGAAGACUCCCAGUGAAAUUGAAUUCGUAGUGAAGAUGCUACGUCCAAAUUGUUAGACGAAAAGACCCCAUUGAGCUUUACUGGAAAGUUAUACGGCUGAAAUAUAAAACGUUUUAUUCUUGCUCUUAAAUAAAAAUUAUGUGGUUUAACCGUUUUAGGCCCCCACUCUUUUAUUUUAAGAGAGCUAACUCUCUAAUGACGGGAGGAACGACGUAAGUUGGACAGUUUGGUUGGGGCGACCGCCUUUUAAAAAGUAACGAAGGUGAGCUUAAGGUGCACAAUUAAUAGCAGCAGCCUGACUGCAAGGGGGACGUCUCGAGCAGACACCAGAAGCCGUCUUAAGGCGGGGGAAAGGUGGGCUAUAGUGACCCGUUAAUUUAGAGUGGAAUAAUUAACGAUCAACGGAUAAAAGUUACCAUGGGGAUAACAGCGUAAUAUCGUUAGAGAGCUUUCAUCGACGACGAUGUUUGCGACCUCGAUGUUGAAUUGCAGCACCCUGGGGUGCAGCCGCCCCCAAGGGUUGGUCUGUUCGUCCACUAAGGCUGUC
rnacentral:rRNA from 1 species